CGUGUAGGCGGCUGGAUAAGUCAGAUGUGAAAGCCCUGGGGCUUAACCCAGGAAGUGCAUUUGAAACUGUUCAGCUUGAGUAAGGGAGAGGAAAGUGGAAUUCCUGGUGUAGAGGUGAAAUUCGUAGAUAUCAGGAGGAACACCGGUGGCGAAGGCGACUUUCUGGCCCUAUACUGACGCUGAGACGCGAGAGCGUGGGUAGCAAACA
rnacentral:rRNA from 1 species